rnacentral:lncRNA from 1 species
AGAUGCUGUGCUCACCCCAGAGACGGAUGGAUCACACCGUUGAAAUUUUCUCCAUGUGUGUGACUCAUUUGUGUGCAUCUAUGUACAGGUAUUCUCCAAUUGCUGCUAACUGGUGCCAUAGAGAAAAAGUCACACUCCGCACCUUGUGAGAGAAGCUACUCCAGGUGAGAAGCCACUCUUGAGGCUCCAGGUGAGAAGCCACUCUUCCGGGUCUGUGUUAGGAACCAUUCUUCAGGUUCCACGUUUGAAAAGCCAGCUCUUCCGGUUCUGUGUCAAGAGUCACCUCUUCAGGUUCUACGUUCAAAGCCACUCUUCAGGGACUGUGUGAGAAGCCACGCUUCAGGCUCCACUCUUCCCUCAGGCUCCUGCCAGCACGGGCUGAACAGCUAUGCCACAGUUCUUCACGAAAAUGAACCGAGAUCUAAACCAGGAUUCCCUCCUUUAAGUUGUUUCUGGUUGACAAAAUUCAUCAUCGCGGGAGCUGUGUUUUGAAAGUGCCUGAAAGUGACAGCAAUCUCCAUCCUUUCUGCCAGAAGCUCCUUCCUUCCAGCACUUGGUGACCCAAGCACCAAGACCACCCCUUGCCAGCCUCCAUCAGAGGCCCCGAGCAUCAGGGAUACACUUCUGCAAGAGACACGUCAACCCAGAGGUUUCAGCUGCAGCCCUAGGGAUCCCUGAAGUUCUACAGAGGAGAAUUAGUGAGACACUGAAGGAAACCAGCGAUGCUUGAGGUCUCCCAGCCCUGUCUCAGCCAGAAUGGCUGGGAUACUACUGUAAUUGAAUACGGGUACCCUAUAUACUUUUGUUUAUAGAAAGGGUUCUGUGUCACUAAAACGUUUAUAAAACAUGUGUCUGUACUAAUAAAUUUUAUAAUGGAAACAAA